GAUGAACGCUGGCGGCGUGCCUAAUACAUGCAAGUCGAGCGAACAGACGAGGAGCUUGCUCCUCUGACGUUAGCGGCGGACGGGUGAGUAACACGUGGAUAACCUACCUAUAAGACUGGGAUAACUUCGGGAAACCGGAGCUAAUACCGGAUAAUAUAUUGAACCGCAUGGUUCAAUAGUGAAAGACGGUUUUGCUGUCACUUAUAGAUGGAUCCGCGCCGCAUUAGCUAGUUGGUAAGGUAACGGCUUACCAAGGCAACGAUGCGUAGCCGACCUGAGAGGGUGAUCGGCCACACUAGAACGGAGACACGGUCCAGACUCCUACGGGAGGCAGCAGUAGGGAAUCUUCCGCAAUGGGCGAAAGCCUGACGGAGCAACGCCGCGUGAGUGAUGAAGGUCUUCGGAUCGUAAAACUCUGUUAUUAGGGAAGAACAAAUGUGUAAGUAACUAUGCACGUCUUGACGGUACCUAAUCAGAAAGCCACGGCUAACUACGUG
rnacentral:rRNA from 1 species